CUGGGAUUACAGGCGUGAGCCACUGCGCCCGGCCCAAAGUGAUUUUUAUGGAGGUACAAUUUAGGACUAAAUGAGGCACAUUUUACUUCUUGGAACGGCAACAGGAAAAUUCCCAUCCCGCAGCUCUCACAACUCAGAUCUUAGCAAUUGGAACAGAACAGGUUGUCACUGCUGAAGGACCAAGCAGAACAACGGUUUCAGGAAGCUUUAGCUCUAAAUCCCAGUAGAUGUAGAGCAGGUGCAGAGCUCUGGGGACUCUCAAAGCACUUUUAACUCUGGUUAAGUGUCAGAAUUGCAUUUAGACAUCAACACAUUUAUAUUCCUUGAUUCUUUCUUCUCCCUAAGCCUUAAACAUAUAGUCACCUUUUAUCAAAAAGAUAUUUUAUUUGUCUAAAUGGAAGAUAUAGUUUACUUUCUUCACACAGAUGCCAGAAAUUUUCUAUGAACGUAAAAUCUUUGGUGCAAUCAAGUGCAUACUGCUUCCCAGAUCCUACAAGAAAGGAGAUUAAGGUGUAGAAUUUUACACUCAUCACAGAAAGUUUUCAGAGACUAACUGGCAUCACCAACCAAAACACAACAUGCUAUCACCACAACUAUUUUUAAAUGUCUUAAGUAGUAGUUUCCAUUGGACAGCAGGUGUGUAAGCAGGAGCCAAGAGUGAAACACGCUCUUGCUCCUCUUCCUAGCAAGAGAGCAAAGACUGUGAGGUUUGGUGUAUUCAUCCAGAGAGAGUGUUUUAAAUGGGGCUAUGACAGAGAAGGUAGACGAGGUGUUGGGCAGCCCUGGACACCCUCAGAAAAUAUCCCUUCUUCAUGAAUUUAUUUUCUAUGUUCAGUUUUACACUAAAAGGUAAAAAAAAGUUAAAAAAAAGAAAAAAAAAGUCCACCCUAUAGUUUGUAUAACAAACAUUCUCACUUGUUCAUGCUGUAUUCAACGUCGAGCCCAUUUUCUUUCCCCUACUACAAAAUCCCACCGCUGGGGUCCUGGUACCUACAGUGAUGGUUCUGAAUAAAGCCCUCCUUACUCUGCUUUGAUAAAGGUCACCGGGUAAUCUUUCUCUCAACGCCUUGCCCAGCUGGCCCAGGGCUCCAAGAAAGGGAAGGCCAGACCCCUGGCCUCUGCCCUGGUUACUCACAGGGACAUCUGUGAAUAUCUGCUGCUGCCCCAUCUGGCCCCGGUGAGGCUGCUCCUCCCUUUCACGUUGGGCCCCACUGCAGCCUCCUGGUGUUCACCGCCAGGGCACACCCCAGGGGAACUGGGGUGGGAUCAUAAGCACAGGGUAGGCCCUCCCUCUCUGCCUGGCCACACUGCACUGCCAGGUGAAUUAAACAUGGCUCUUCCCCCAGGUGGUGCUUGGGGGCCCGUGCAGCAGGAGGGACAUCUUCUCCGCACAGCAAUGUUCCCAGAUCUCACCACCCUGAGUUCUGGCCCCUGCGUUGGGCGGGUUGGCAAGUCAAGAGAAAAAACAAUGUGGUAUUUUUGCUUAAUUUCCCCUAAACUCUAUCUGUCCUGCUUUCCACUGUGACCUCACCACCUGAACUUCCUGGACUUCCUUACACUGGAGCAGACACUGGCAUCUGCUCAGCUCUCCUGUGCUCUGCAAGGGGUAGAAAAAUUCACCCAUCCUCUGCUAUGUGCAGACUGUCCACCUUCUGCUAUAGAGUUCAUGUACCCACCUGUCAACCUCAUAGUCAAACAAACAAGACGUUAUGGGAGAAAACACCCAGCUGAUGGUUGAAAAACAACCAGAGAAGAAAGACAGAGAUGUAGAAAAAGAGACAAAGACGGCUGGACGCAGUGGCUCAUGCCUGUAAUCCCAGGACUUUGGGAGGCUGAGGUGGGCAGAUCACCUGAGGUCGGGAGUUCAAGACCAGCCUGAGCAACAUGGAGAGCCCCCCGUCUCUAACAAAAAUACAAAAAAUUAGCCGUGUGUGGUGGUGCAUGCCUGUAAUCCCAGCUGCUCAGGAGGCUGAGGCAGGAGAAUCGCUUGAACCCGGGAGGCAGAGGUUGCAGUGAGCCAAGAUUGUGCCAUUGCACUCCAGCCUGGGCAACAAGAGCGAAACUCCAUCUCAAAAAAAAAAAAAAAGAGAGAGAGAGACAGAGAGACACACAGUGAGAGAGAAAGACAGAAAGAGAGACAGGGACAGAGACAGACAGAGCAGGGAGAAUGUGUCCCACGUGAAGAACAGGGAAAAUCGGUCACAAUGUUCACACAAGAAAGCAAAGAUACAGAGUACAGCACUGGGAAGCAGAUCCCAGGAGGAAAUUAAACCUGAGCACAAAUAGAAAAUUAAAGCUCAGUACAAAUUAAAAUUGGGUAGGCCAGUCAGGUACCACCCUCUUUGAACCAGCACAGAAACCUCCCAGCAGACCGAGCUGCAGCCCAUCCCGGGGUUCAUAAUGUGGAGUCAGGAGCCUCAGGUGGGUCUGAAGCCCCUGUCUCUGAGACUUGGCCGACCUUGGACAGGUUACUUCAUGUCUCGGUCCAUAGUUUCUGUUUUUAUAAAUGAGGAAAAUAAUAGAGCACGCUGUGGAGGGUUUGUAGGAGAAUUUAAUGUGUCCACGUUUGCCUAGAACUAAAUUAGCAACUGCCCCAUAGAAAGAGCUGGCUGAGUUUUUGCUGAAUUCUUAAAAAUCUUUCU
rnacentral:lncRNA from 1 species